GUCCCGCCGGGCAAACAACCGGCAGCCCCGGAUGUCUCCGCGGGAGCCGCGGAUCUCGCGAGAGCACGAAAGGGACGGAAAAGCUUUCAGUAAGAUACCGCUGCUGAUGCCUCUGGGAAAAAGCCCUUUCUUUCCGUAUAGAGACAGAUUUAAACAGGUGUCUAACACAGACACACAGUGAUAGGAGCCGUCUCUCUCAAGGCUGAACAGUCCCAGCUUCCAUCACAGAUGCUUCCAUCACAGAUGCUUCCGUCCCUUACCCGUCUCAUGAAGCUGUAUUUGAUGCUAUAUUCUUAUGGUGUUCCUGUGCUGCUCAUACAUUUCUCAGCUGAUUCUUGCAGCAGAGCACAACACAGAACUCUGUGCCACCAAAGCUGUGUCUCCAGGUCCCUAAGCUGCAGUGUGUUUCUCUGAGUAAGGAGAUCCAGGGUGAAUUUACACCUGUGCUGACUGCUUUCCUAAGUGUAAGUAUAGUAUCCAAGAGAAAUAAAUGCAACAAAUUUUGCACCAUUAAAAAAGCAUAUGCUUGUUAAGUGUUACAACUGUUGAAAUACCUGUGCUCCAAGGGUGAUUUCACAGUUUGAUUUCACGUUUCCAAACACUGUAGAUACAUGUUUCUAAUGCAUUUGUUAUUAAAAAAAUAUGUAGCGAAGGAAAAUAGAAAAACAUUAAUCUCUAAGGCUUUUGGGUACAAAAAGGGUUAUGAGUCCAUGCUAUAUUAAAAAUAAAUAAAUAAAGCUC